UACGAGAGGCCCAAACGUUAUUCGGAAUUACUGGGCUUAAAGAGUUCGUAGGCGGCGCAGAAAGUAGGGUGUGAAAGCCCUCGGCUCAACUGAGGAAUUGCGCUCUAAACUACUGUGCUUGAGGACGGGAGGGGAGCCUGGAAUUCCUGGUGGAGCGGUGAAAUGCGUAGAUAUCAAGAGGAACACCUGAGGUGAAGACGGGUUGCUGGGCUGAUACUGACGCUGAGGCGCGAAAGCUAGGGUAGCAAACGGG
rnacentral:rRNA from 1 species